rnacentral:rRNA from 1 species
ACGGGUGAGUAACGCGUGGGAAUCUACCCAUCUCUACGGAAUAACGCAUGGAAACGUGUGCUAAUACCGUAUACGUCCUUCGGGAGAAAGAUUUAUCGGAGAUGGAUGAGCCCGCGUUGGAUUAGCUAGUUGGUGGGGUAAAGGCCUACCAAGGCGACGAUCCAUAGCUGGUCUGAGAGGAUGAUCAGCCACACUGGGACUGAGACACGGCCCAGACUCCUACGGGAGGCAGCAGUGGGGAAUAUUGGACAAUGGGCGCAAGCCUGAUCCAGCCAUGCCGCGUGAGUGAUGAAGGCCCUAGGGUUGUAAAGCUCUUUCACCGGUGAAGAUAAUGACGGUAACAGGAGAAGAAGCCCCGGCUAACUUCGUGCCAGCAGCCGCGGUAAUACGAAGGGGGCUAGCGUUGUUCGGAUUUACUGGGCGUAAAGCGCACGUAGGCGGACUAUUAAGUCAGGGGUGAAAUCCCGGGGCUCAACCCCGGAACUGCCUUUGAUACUGGUAGUCUUGAGUUCGAGAGAGGUGAGUGGAAUUCCGAGUGUAGAGGUGAAAUUCGUAGA